UAUUAUUGUUAUCACCGUCAACUAGGGGCUUUAAAAGCUGAAUGCAGUAUUGUGAGCGGAGGGCAAAGCAGCACUGCAGCAGCAUAAGAUUUGUGAUGGAUGACUCCAAAUGGAAGGGGAAGCGUGAGGGAUAAAAUGAAAGAUAACAAGAAUGAUAAUGCUGUUGAUUGGAAAGGCUUUAGGAUUCUGCUAUAGAUUGGGAAGGAAGCCGUGUGGGAAGAGAAUAAAAACUUGUGUAAUUGCACUUGUCAAGUACAUCAGGUACCUGAAACCCUAGCUCUCAUUUUUAUAUUUUAGAUCUAGAAAUAAAGAAUAGCUGUUAAAAAGUCUACAAUGCGGGUCUUGCUUAUUCAAGCUCGCUUACCAUCAAGCUCAAAAGCAAGCUCUAGUUUAUAACUCGUUAAUAACGAGCUAUACUUGAACUUGGCUGCCGAGCUGAGUUUUUUGAGCAAAUUGCUUGGCAAGUUUAGUUUAUCCUUGCAUGGUUCCUUUUGACCGUUGCUUGAUUGUCCUGCUUUUUAGUCAAUUCUCGAUUCUAGCUAGCAACUUAAAGCUGCUCUCCUACUCUGUUCUUUUUUGCUGUUCCAGCUCUUUAGCUUCUUCUAUAUGUUUAGCUAGGCGCAUCUGCUCUUGGUUAGUCCUCGUGGAUGUCGACUACCUCUCUCUUUUACAGUCACUUAAAGAAGAGAGACUCAUUCAUUCUACUAUUCUUUAGUUCUUUCUCAAAAAAACUAUUCUUUAGUCUCAUUCACAACCAUUAUAUGUGUACUUCCACUGACUUCUUUGAUACUGAAAGCUGCAUUUGAAGAUUCCAAAGACAUGGCUGCGAGGGAACUAAAGUUAUAUACUGCCAGCACGCUAGCUGUAGUAUCAGUUGUCGGUAUCACAAAGAGCAAAAAACUUCGUAAAAGUUGGAUGAAUCCAUAGAAUUUCCCUCUGCAGUCUCUGAUAUAGCUUGGUAAUUUCUGCUGUAUGUGGAGAAUAUUAGCUAUUUGGCUUAAAAAUGUAUCUGACUGCCCAAGGACCAAUCACUUUUCGAUAAACUGCAGGAGUCACGAGCUAGGCGCAGGGUUGUACUAUAUCAUAGCAAAGAAUUGCACAGGACAGUAUGUGUGUGAAGGCAGAAGUUAUGGUUGUUGCUUCUCAGCCUUUAUAUAAUGACUGAACUCUAUGUUCCUUUUGUUUUGGUUGGCUUGGGGUUUUGAAAUCUGCCAUAUGCAUGUGAGAAGGCCUUGAUCCUUCUAUUUCAAGGUUACUUUCAUCUGGUUAUGUGCCCUUGGAGGGUAAUUACCUAAUAGCUGUAUUGGCUUGCUUGAAGCGAAAUUAUUGACUGGAUACUAUUAAGUAUCAGCAUAUAUUUUCAUUUGACAGUAAGUAAACCAUGAAUUCUUUCGGUAGAAUAGAUCUCCUGGUAAGUUGUAUUAAUGGAGAUGAUGUUAUCAAAAAAUUAAUCGAGAUGGUGUUCUUUUUCUUAUUUAGGUAACUUGGAAGAUCUUCAUUACGUUGGAAGCUGACCUUUUAGAAGUAUCAGAAAAUAAAGGCCGAGUAUGGAAAGAUGUAAUACAUAACCUCAGGACCAUAUGAUCACGAACUGAAAUGAAACUUGCACACAAUGUUAUUGAAAAUACAAGGAAAAAACACGAUAGAAAAAUCACUGCAAGGCACGGAAGGGACCAGGCCCAAACCUCGCACCACUUGGCCAGAUUGCGAGGUCGAUCUUGCGUCCCAGCUCGCCUAACGAGGUCCAUCACCUCGGCAGACCAGGCCUUGCCAGGUUAUUUCCUGGCCUUAGACCAGGCUUUGCAAGGUGCCCAUGUCCGAGUGGAAAUUAUUUUUUUGUUAAUUUUGGACUUGGAUACUUCGACCCUGGACUUAUAUAAUAGUUCUUGAACUCGUUUUUUUAGAAAGGAGCCGUCAUGGAGGCCAGAGUUCAUCCGACUCUCUUCCGCCAAACUUAGUAAUUUUGUA